CUUUGGUGGGGCAAGAAUUUAUCACGUUUUUCGAAGUGACAAAUUUUUUUCUUAAUUGCUUCGUGGUCUUUGAUACACUUGACGAAUCACAUCCAUAAGUGAUGGAUGCUUGCACAAUUCUCAAGAGGAGGUCGAAAGAGGAACAGGAUCAAAGUUGAGGGAAAUGGAAGAAAUAAAAGAGACCCAUGACCAGAAGGAGGAAAAGAAAAUCAGAACAAGGAAUAGACCUGAAAGGAUUUUAGUUUAGACUCAUGACCAGUAGGAGGAAAAGAACAGUGGAACAAGGAAUAGACCUAAAAGGAUUUUAACUAGCAAGUUACUUAUAUGCAUUAAAAAAGAUAUUUUUUUUUAUACAAGCAUUACGUGCAUUUACAUAUUAAAUUGAAUAAAAAUAUUAUGUAAUACUGUAUAA